rnacentral:rRNA from 1 species
UCCUACGGGACGCAGCAGUGAGGAAUAUUGGUCAAUGGGCGGGAGCCUGUACCAGCCAAGUCGCGUGAGGGAUGACGGUCCUACGGAUUGUAAACCUCUUUUGCCGGGGAGCAAGCGUGCGUUCGUGAACGCACGUCGAGAGUACCCGGAGAAAAAGCAUCGGCUAACUCCGUGCCAGCAGCCGCGGUAAUACGGAGGAUGCGAGCGUUAUCCGGAUUUAUUGGGUUUAAAGGGUGCGCAGGCGGAAUGUCAAGUCAGCGGUAAAAUUUCGGGGCUCAACCCCGUCGUGCCGUUGAAACUGGCGU